rnacentral:lncRNA from 1 species
CCAAAGUCUAGCGAGAUCAGGGCAGGGCAGGAAGGACAAAUGAGGGCAGGGCGUGGAAAAAAAGCUGAAUUUUCGAUGUAAAACAUCAGGGCAGUGUUUUUUUCACCGUUUGCAUAAUUGAUUUCCCCAGGAAAAGGGAACCGAGGCACCGAACAGCUGCGGAAAUGACAAACAAAACCAAAAACUGCUCACAAAAAUCAGUGAGUCUCUGGUUCAGUCCUUGGUCCCAAAAAUCUGUUUUCCCCCAUUUUUCCUCUUUUCAGCCUUUUCUUUUCUUCCUUCUGGAAGCCACCACAGCCAAGAACUUCCCAACAUCCAUCUCCUUUUCCCUGGAAUAAUCCUGGAAUAAUCGGGAAUAAAUGGAUUUAUACCCCAGGAAUGGGAAUUGUU